AUUGAACGCUGGCGGCAGGCUUAACACAUGCAAGUCGAGCGGAGAUGAGGUGCUUGCACCUUAUCUUAGCGGCGGACGGGUGAGUAAUGCUUAGGAAUCUGCCUAUUAGUGGGGGACAACAUUCCGAAAGGAAUGCUAAUACCGCAUACGUCCUACGGGAGAAAGCAGGGGAUCUUCGGACCUUGCGCUAAUAGAUGAGCCUAAGUCGGAUUAGCUAGUUGGUGGGGUAAAGGCCUACCAAGGCGACGAUCUGUAGCGGGCCUGAGAGGAUGAUCCGCCACGCUGGGACUGAGACACGGCCCAGACUGCUACGGGAGGUAGCAGUGGGGAAUAUUGGACAAUGGGGGGAACCCUGAUCCAGCCAUGCCGCGUGUGUGAAGAAGGCCUUAUGGUUGUAAAGCACUUUAAGCGAGGAGGAGGCUACUGAGACUAAUACUCUUGGAUAGUGGACGUUACUCGCAGAAUAAGCACCGGCUAACUCUGUGCCAGCCGCCGCGGUAACAC
rnacentral:rRNA from 1 species